UGGCAUGCAAACUUGACCUAAACACUUUAAGUCUGGCAUUUAAAGUUAGUCUAAAGUGCAAGCUGGCUUUGGAGAGGCUUUGAAAUGAAGAGCAGAAAUAAUCUGCAGUAAGUGCAUUUUCUCAAGUGGGUCACGAUGGCAAAGAGACGAAGAAACAGGACACGUGCAGCCCACGGAAAGACUGAGCAAAACACGCUUCCACUGCUAGCAACGUGGGGGAAGGCUUGUUCUGUGUCGACUCUUGUAAUGGAUGUUUUAUGAGAGGGGAAGAAGGGGGGAGCUGUGCACUUUACGUCUUUUGGUUGAGCCAAAUGUAAAUACCAAUGGGAGAUCUUCAGCGGUAACUGCAGUUGGAGGGGAGAGGAAUGGUCUGCUGGGGGACUGUUUAUUUACACUGGCAGAUCGUUAUACUUCCCUAGAGCACUAGCGUCACUUUGCCUCUACACUUGAACAGAGUGGGUAACACGAGGUGGUCUCCCUUCCAGAAGGAGUCCUUGCACUGCCCGCAGCACUGACUGAAAAGUCCCAAAGGUGAAGGAAUGUUUUUGAUGCCUCACUCCUCUUGUCACUGAUGCCCUUGAGCCAUCUCUAGCUUACCAAGUUAGGGGAGGUCUCAUUUUCCCCUUUCAAAGCGCUAAUGAACUGUUAUGACGGGAGGUACUCCUCGCACUUCUCACAGCUAUCCCUGCUCUCGCGGUUUUGACUUGCCUGCAAACACAUCUGUUUGGAAUGAAUUAAUGGCUGAAGAGAGAGUGGGGAGAGAAGGGGGGGCUCCUGCCUUAAACUUGAACUUCCCUCGCAAGCAGCUCCGCAAGCUGUCCUGUGCUUCAGCAGGCUUUGGGAUCUCCUGCUGUGCCCCGACGGGGCUGGGUGUGCUCCUGUCCUAGGCACAGCUCUCUGCUCCACAGCCACGGUGCAGGGGAGGUAAUUCGCAGGUAACUCACAGAACGGCUUGGAGUAUCUGAAUGGGCUUACUGGGAGAGAAAAACUGUGUUCCCUCUUCUGUUUCUGGCCUCCAUGUGUUGUGCUGAUCUUAUGCCAAAUGUUUUGGACACCUUGUAUUUUUAACUGUAAGAUAGCUGUGUAUUGUUAAAGCAACUUAGUAACUUAUAGCAAAACUGUAGAACUCAUUUCUCUGAGGUGUAGGAAAUGUCCUGCUUCCACUGUGUAUGAGACUUUAACUCUGUACUGUCUGACAAAGAUCAAAUGCUGAAUUUCACUUUAAUAAAUGAUCUAUCUAGCAACAAGGCCUACGUUCCCUUCUGCAUUUGCCUUUCUGCCCUUAGUGUUUUUGGCUCCAGAGCCAAAGGAGUUUUGCUUUGCAUGGCUGUUUUGUGCCAGGCUUGUCUGAUUCACCCUCAUUUCCCACCCACCUUCCUAGGGCUGAAAAUAUUGCAGACGUGGAAGGGAGAAUGGCACCUGCUGACUAGGAUAUGCCAAGCCUGAAGUAGAAAACUCAGGUCAUUGGCUAUUUUGUGACAAAUCUGUGUGGGUUGCUGCAGUAGAAAUCACGGAGUCUCUGGAAUGCAACAAAAAGCCUCAGGAGCAAGCUGGAGUUAGCUGGAGAGCCAGGUGACUUUGCAGUGAAGGGAACAUGGGGCUUUUCCAUGACAGGUGUUUUGUUUUUUUCCCCUGCCUGUCAUGAACAGUCAGUCAAGUGCAAUGUCUCAUUUGAUUGUGUUUCCUAAUGAAUCUUUAUGUAGAGUUCAGCCCUGAGCUUCUGCUUCCUUCUCGAGUACGCCCUUGGCUGCGUUUCAUGCAUAACUUCCAGCUCCCGUCAUCCAGUCAAAGCAGCGUGCCCGGCUGAUAAGCAAGGAAUUGAGUGAUGCCAGAAACUGGGCCUUCAGUACUUGUUCUCCUGAACCCUGUCAUGGCGUUUCCUAAGUCUCUGCUGGCAGUGUCUGAGGAAGUGCUCUGUGAUCGCUGCAGCAUCCUCAGCAGAGAGCACCGAGGUGGAAGCAGAACUGCCUGUGUACAGAGAAACAGCGACUGAGACUGGGGAGGAGGGAAGCAUCAGAGUUCUUUGCCCUGAGCAGCCAGACGAGCGUUAGGGUUGAUCCCGGCAUCUCCAGGAACGGCAGCGGGGCCGGGCUGGGGAUGCAGGAUCCAGCCCUGAGCCCGUAUGCGCACGUCGUGGCAGCAAGUCUUCAGGAACAAAGCCGCCGCACAAAAUAAAGGAAUAAGGAUUCAGCUUUAAUUAUUAAGGAUUAUUAAAGAUUUAU